GAUGAACGCUGGCGGCGUGCUUAACACAUGCAAGUCGAACGAAGCAUUUAAAUCAGAUUUCUUCGGAAUGACGAUUUACUUGACUGAGUGGCGGACGGGUGAGUAACGCGUGGGUAACCUGCCUUAUACUGGGGGAUAACAGUUAGAAAUGACUGCUAAUACCGCAUAAGCGCACGGCAUCACAUGAUGCAGUGUGAAAAACUCCGGUGGUAUAAGAUGGACCCGCGUCUGAUUAGCUAGUUGGUAAGGUAAUGGCUUACCAAGGCGACGAUCAGUAGCCGACUUGAGAGAGUGACCGGCCACAUUGGGACUGAGACACGGCCCAAACUCCUACGGGUGGCAG
rnacentral:rRNA from 1 species